rnacentral:lncRNA from 1 species
AAAAUUAUAGGAAUAUAAAAGUCAGUUUAAGGAAUAGGAAUCCCCAUUUCCAACCCCCCAUAAGAAUGAGAUUCACAUUCUUUAUUCUUAAAUUGUGUGGGACUCACACAUUUUAUUUCCAUUCCCAAAUUAUAUUUUGCCAAGUAAACAUGAGUUUCAUUCAUAUUCAUUCGUUCACAUUCCCUAAAAUCUCAAGUAAACACACAUAAAAUCAAAAUAGAGUAAGAUUGAAAUAAACUGAAAAUAAAAUUAAAAAAAU